AUGGACGCGCAUCAAACCGCAAGGUCAGCCGAGCAAGCAAGAGGACAGGCCAGGAAACGAGAAAGAAAGGGAAGGGAACAAGAGAAAAUGGUGGACCAUGGCUUUGCUGUGGCUGAUGGGCCUGCCAGGUCUAUUCUAUGGUGGAGUCAAUUCAUGGCAAGAUUUGGGGGAAAUCUGGCCCGGAUCUUGCUUUCCAUGAGGCGGGAUUUCCUUUGGUCAUCACACUUGUUUUCUCCACCCACCUUUUCCCCACCCCAUAUCUCCCUGGAAUCCUUUCUCAUGUGCUUCCGGUGCAUAUAA
rnacentral:rRNA from 1 species